GGACGGGUUGUGUUUGACGUGGAACAGGGGCUUCAAGCUUAUCCGUGGGAAAAGAAGUUUAUCCGGAAGAGGAUGAGAGUUGGAAAUCUAGUUGGGAUAAGCUGGGAUGGAAUCAGAAGAGGCGGAAGGUUGGAUUCACUGAUCCGUGGGAUAAUGGAAUUCUACUGUGCUCCGAAGCAAGGAAAUGAUGCGGAUGAAGCUCACGGCUGGCAGCUGGGAUGAACUGGGAGCUAUCCGUAGGUGGUUGAAGGUGGGAUGCUGGGAGAAGCGGAAGAAUGAAUCGCGGAUACGGGGAAGAUGAGCUGGGGCGUGAUCCACAGAAUGGGAAAUCUGGAGGUUGGGAUGGAGACUGGCUUGGGUUUAUCCAUGGGUUGUUGAAGUUAUCGUGAACGCUGGGAGGAAACGUGGCGUUGUGUGGACAGGUUAUGUUUGUUGGACACAGGA
rnacentral:lncRNA from 1 species